rnacentral:rRNA from 1 species
AUUGAACGCUGGCGGUAUGCUUUACACAUGCAAGUCGAACGGCAGCACAGUCAUAGCUUGCUCUUCGGGGUGGCGAGUGGCGGGCGGGUGAGGAGUACGUCGGCAUCUACUUUUUCUUGGUGGGUAACAGCGGGAUAAUUACGCCAAUCCCGCAUACGAUCUACGGGUGAAAGCAUGGGACCUUGGGACCUUGCGCGAUUGAAUGGGCCGAUGUCGGAUUAGCUAGUUGGAGGGGUAAAGGCCCACCAAGGCGACGAUCCGUAGCUGGUCUGAGAGGAUGAUCAGCCACACUGGAACUGAGACACGGUCCAGACUCCUACGGGAGGCAGCAGUGGGGAAUAUUGGACAAUGGGCGAAAGCCUGAUCCAGCAAUACCGCGUGGGUGAAGAAGGCCUUCGGGUUGUAAAGCCCUUUUGUUGGGAAAGAAAAGCAGCAGGUUAAUACCCCGCUGUUCUGACGGUACCCAAAGAAUAAGCACCGGCUAACUACGUG